UACGAAGGGUGCAAACGUUGCUCGGAAUUAUUGGGCGUAAAGCGCACGUAGGCGGCAUUGCAAGUCGGAUGUGAAAUCUUAUGGCUUAACCAUAAAAGUGCAUCCGAAACUGCAGUGCUUGAGUACUUAAGAGGAUCGCGGAAUUCCCGGGUGUAGAGGUGAAAUUCGUAGAUAUCGGGAGGAACACCAGUGGCGAAGGCGGCGAUCUGGGAAGAUACUGACGCUGAGGUGCGAAAAGCGUGGGGAGCAAACAGGG
rnacentral:rRNA from 1 species